rnacentral:rRNA from 1 species
UACGGGGGGGGGCAAGCGUUGUUCGGAAUUACUGGGCGUAAAGGGCUCGUAGGCGGCCAACUAAGUCCGACGUGAAAUCCCCAGGCUUAACCUGGGAACUGCGUCGGAUACUGGUUGGCUUGAAUCCGGGAGAGGGAUGCGGAAUUCCAGGUGUAGCGGUGAAAUGCGUAGAUAUCUGGAGGAACACCGGUGGCGAAGGCGGCAUCCUGGACCGGCAUUGACGCUGAGGCGCGAAAGCCAGGGGAGCAAACGGG